rnacentral:lncRNA from 1 species
AAGAAAUAUACUACUCCUACUAUGCUUUGCUUUAUUUGGUUCUGCACAAUAUGGUCAGUUAUAGUUUGAAAGACUGUUGUGGCUCGUGGGUUAAUGUAUCUUGAGGCAUUCUUUAAGCCUUUUUCAACCUCCAUAAAAGCUUGCGAUUUGAAAAAUGCGAGAAUCUUUCGAUGAGAAAGAAGUUGCACUGUGCGCGUUUUACAAACAAAAAAGGGAAAAGGUAAAGAAAGGGAAGAUUUGCGAGGAAAGAAAGGAACAUGAUGCACUUAGAAAAGAGCUGCAUACAAAUGGCAAAGACAAAGCUUGAUUCCCCUCCUUUUUUUUCCAGGCUGCUUUGCUUUGUCUAAUGAUCAUGAUGUUGUUGUCCAUUUGUUUUGUUUUCCGUUGAUCAAGUGGGCGCUCGGGCAGACAAAUCAUCAGUGAUGUAAGACGCGAAAUCGAGCUGGAUUAAACAAGUCGCUUUGUUUUUUUGCGAGGAAUAGAUUAAACAAGUUGCUGCUAGCCUCGGUUUGCAUGUCCAGACUGUCUGCCGGUGUUUGAGCUUUGUUUUCGCAAAGAGAAUUCUGCUUGGAUUCUGAGGAACUCACGAUGCAGGCGUGUGUGUGUUGGGCUGUGCAAAACAAUUGACCCAGCAGGAGUUGCUUCUUGCAAGCAUGAUUUCUGUAUGCUGAUGUGAGCAGUAAAUUAAGCAGGGUGGAGGAUUAAAUUGUGGAAAGCAUAAAGGAUCACUCCAUGACAGGCACGAAUAGAAAAAAACAGACUGGGGUGAGAGAGGCUCGAACUCUCGACCUCAGGAUCACUCAAUUUAGCUAUGAGACCUACGCGCUAGCCAACUGCGCCACCACCCCUAGUUGCUUACAAGGCAGUAUCUUACGUCUAUAUAAAUUGUUUAACAUUUUUAUUACAAAAAAUUGGUAGCCAUCCAUUUGGUCUGCUCAGAUUAUUCUCCAAAUUGCUAGAACAUUAUCAUAAUUCCCACACAUUUGGUUUUUGCAUACUAGGACAAAUUACUUACUUUCAGAUCAUUGUUUGCUCUCUCUUAUGCUUUCCAGAAUUUAGUCCUCCACCCUGCUUAUUUCUAGGACAAAUUAAUUACUUUGAGAUCAUUGUUUGCUCUCUCUUGUUCAGGAUAUAGUUACUUUGAGAUCAUUGUUAAUUUAGCACAAAAUUGGGUUUUUGCAUACUAGGACAAAAUAAUAUUUCUAAAAUUUGCUGGCCAUAAGCUAGCAUGCAACCACUCCAACCCAACCCAUCUACCGUCCUCCAACCAAACACAUCCAAGGUCUUGAGAGCCAAGUUUGUUGGGUUGUUCAAAGAAAAUUAAGUAGGAAGUGAAAGCCACUAGGAAUAAGGUUUAAUCACAUAUGAGAAAAUGACCACCAUAUAUUUUGAAUAAAAGAGAAAACGUGCACGACUGUGAUGAUUAAGAAACUAGCAAACACUAGAUCCAGAAAUGCAUCUUACACCCAAUGGGGAAACUAUUUUAUUUUCCUCUCAAGGGAAGCGACACGAGCUUUGCCUAUUCAUUAAGAAGAAAAAAAGGUCAACCAGUUUACGAGAAAAGAAUGGACAAAAAACCAAACUAGGCUCAGUUAAUUAUUCGCGAAAACUACAACCCAACUGAGCACUACAACCAUCGACACCGUACAAGACAGAGAGUCAGAACUCGAGGGAAGCGAAUGUAUAGGCUUCUCGGACUGCAUAUCUUUAUUGUUUAGUUUUCAUUGAUAAUGCAAACAGUCAACUUUACAGACUAGUUGUUGUGCUUUGCUAGAGGAACCUGCCACAUGCAACUAUUUUCUCAAAGAAUAAUGGGAUUGUUCAGCACAAACUAGAGCCAACCUUCCUGUAUAUGGUUUUGGAAAACCAUAUUGAUAACAAAAUGGUUUCGUGGUGUAGUUGGUUAUCACGUCAGUCUAACACACUGAAGGUCUCCGGUUCAAACCCGGGCGAAGCCAAAUUUGUUUUAAAUUUUUGUCUCUGAAAAAUAAUUUUUAAAAAAAAAAACUGGCCCAUGCAGGUCUCGAACCUGCGACCUUCGCGUUAUUAGCACGACGCUCUAACCAGCUGAGCUAAUGGGCCAAUUCUUGCUUACGGUUUUUACACAAACUUAUUUAAACUUUAGGUUUAAUCUGAAAAAAGCGUGUCGAAAUUGUAAGACUUUACUAGUUUCUUGCCCUCCUGAAAGUGGAUUUGAUGAUGAUGUGACAAACGUAUAUAUGCACUAUCUAUCAAGACGGCAUCUCUCCAGCCUGUCGUGUAUAUAUGCAGUUAGCGACCGGGCAGGGUAAAGGAUGAGAUAUCUCUUUCGAAUUUUGCAACCAAAUCUUACUCCUUGUUGCAUGUAUUAGGCGAGGACAUUAUAUCUCCAUGAAAAAAAAACACGUCUUUACCCUAUAUAUCACUCUCUUCUCUACCCGAUGAAAAGACGAGAGAACAUGUCCAACUAUACAUGACAAUUGUUGCUAAAAUGCGCGAGGAUAGAUUUUUGGUGACAUAGAAGAGAGAUGGAGAGAAAAAAAAGAAGAUAGAUGGAAAAAAAAGAGUGUGGCUGUUACUCUAGAGAGUACCUACCAUGUGUCAAUUAACAAUUUUGUAGAGUUUUUUGGAACGGGGUGAUCGUGAAACAGUCUAUUAGAGAGGUUUGUUUUUUAAAUGGAGGGAAAAACUUUGCUCGUCUCUUAUGGAUCAAGGAGUUAACAAACAACACACAAGACAACGAACAAGAGUAACAAGCCCUUACAUACAAGUAGUCCAAUAAAUCUCGUGGCACGAUGGAUCUUUGCAAGGUGGUUACUUAUUUGCACGGAUGUGUUCUUCCCUUCUCUUCUUAGUAACAACCUAGCUAGGCUAGGCUCUGAUUACCUGUCAAAAGAUAGAAAAAAAGCUAUGCUCUGAUAAAAUCAGUGAUAUUUAUCUGCACACAGGUCAUAGUCACUUUUGCAAUAAGAAAUAAAGUCAAGAGUUGCAUAGCCAUAGACCGAGCUUUCCACAGGGGGAACAAGAAUUGGCACUAUAUAAACCGGCACGCCAUAUAUACCCACCCACUUCCCUCUAUCAUGCACCUUUAUGCAUUUGUGCUUUCCUCAGAAAAGCAACGGCUGUUCAUGAUAUUACUCCGCCACAUUUACGUGCUCUCUUCAUAUUAAACUUUCGGAUGGAAAUUAACUGUACCUAAUUUGAAGCUUCACAGAAUUAUGAGGAAAGUCUCGCAUGCGUGUCCAUGGGUAUUUGCAAAGUUUCAUGAAAAAAUAAAUUACAAAAUAAAUCUCAAAUUAAAUUUAACAAGUGUCUAAGUGAUAUUUUCUUGAAAAUACAAAGCAAGAGAAAUAUUGUAUCCAGUGAUAACAAUAUAAUAUCAUGUACUCCCUACUGGGUUUCGCUAAAACCAAACAAACUUUGCCCCUGGCCACUGCAAGGUUUUUCUCAAUGACAUGGCGAUGAAUAAAUAAAUAACAGAUCCAUUUUUUAUUUUUUCAGCUCGUCUAGUUAGUUAAUAAUGCAUUCCAUUUUUUUUUUGCAUUCCUAGAUGACUAGAUCUUUCCUCCGUUGACUUGGAUUGUAAACAAGUAGUCACGAUUAUUUAUUCGAAAAGGAGGUUAAGUUGUCCCAAAUAAUAUAUGCUUGAAUUUUCUUCUUACAAUACCACGAGUUCCUUGCAAGAAAGAAACAAAAGGUAUGAUAGAAAGAAAGUGAAUCAAUCAAUCAAUUAGGUGAGCAUCGCACAGGGGCGCGGCCCCUAUCCUAUCCUUGUUAUUCCUCUUCCCCAAGCAGUGGUCCCUCUGUUGCCCACGUCCAUUCUUUGCCAAAGUGCAGCAUCUCAUGUCGUCUCCAUCCAUCUCUCUCAGCCUUCUCCUUCUUCUUCUUCUUCUUCCUGAUCGAUUGGCUAUAAAUAGCCCUGGCUGCCUUGCCAUUGUUCCUCAAGCCAGCAAGAAGCACACACAAGCCUAGAAGCCUUCAGCUUAAUCUUCUUCCUAAGCAAGUUCGAGCACUCGACCGAAGAUGUCUUGCUGCGGAGGAAACUGCAACUGCGGGUCAUCCUGCAAGUGCGGCAGCGGCUGCAACGGCUGCAACAUGUACCCUGAAGCCGAGGUCCAGACCUCCAGCCUCCUCGUCGUCGCCACCGCCGCCCACAAGGCGUACGUCAUUCAUUUAGAUCAUAUAUACUACUCCAUCCGAUACAUAAUAAGCGUCGCUGAUUUAUUAUUACAAUUGUCGUCAUGGAUGGUCUUAUAAAGUUUGGUUGUUGGAACAUAUGUGCAGGAGCUCCGGCGGGAUGGAGAUGGCCGCGGAGAACGGCGGCUGCGGCUGCAGCACCUGCAAGUGCGGCACCAGCUGCGGCUGCUCAUGCUGCAGCUGCUAGAUCUCAAUCUGCUGCAGCAGCUUAAUUUGCAUGCCAGGGACGCAUGCAACGACCAUCUACAUAUAGCUACUCGAUCUACCGCUACCAUGAACCGAUCCAAGGCUAGCUGCACAAGCUAGGCCCUUAUUUCCCUUUGUACGGGUGCAUGCAUGCCAUCCCAUGCCAUGCUUGUAACCCCCCAUAAAUAAAAUCGCCCUGGUUUAACUAUACAUGCACGUACGUGUGUGUUAUCUCUGUGAUCAUCGUCUUAACUAUUACUAGCAAAAGACCCGUGCGUUGCUAUAGAACAACAGAAAAUUGUAUCAGAAUGUCAAAUUAAUUGCCUCAGGCUCAUCCCAUCGCUGUCCAAGUCCUGUGUGGAGCCACCGGUACGCACGAGCCGGUGGAGGCGGCGCAGCCGCCUUUCUCACAUGGACGGCGCCGACGCGCACGAGCUGGUGGAGACGACCAAGAGCGGCGGCGGGCACCGGCGAGAUCCCAAGGGAUAGUAAUUACUGUGCCCGCGCGUUGCUACAGGUCAAUAAAAUCACAAACUGUUUAUUUUUAUUUUCUGUGUAGGCAACUCAUGGCGCUGUCGAGGUCGGCAUGCGGGUGUGGUGGCGUCGGUUGUAAGAUGGAGUAGAAAAAAUCGUGAAAAAAACUGGAGGAAAAGAAAAUAAUGGACAGUAGCAUAUUGGUGAAAAUAACGAGUAGUGACAUAUUGGUUGUAAUUUUAACGAAAUUAACCUACGUCGACCACGACUGUACCAUCACCACCAACUCCAAUUUAAUAACGAAGUUAACCUACGGCGACCGUGACCGCGACCGUACCAUCACCACCAACUCUAAUUUAAUAACCCAAUUUAAUAGAUAGUAAUUCUCACAUGGAACAACGGAAAGUGUAUCAAGCACGAGCCGGUGGAGGCGAAGUCUGGACAUUAAUUUUUUGAUUGGAUUGAUUUCCAUACUGAGAUGGAUACGAAGAAUUUUGGAUUUCAUGCUAAGGAGAUUGAUUUAUUUUAGGAUUGUUCGUAUUAUGUUGUGACAAAUUUGGACCGUACAAUAACUUUCGGUAAAUCUAAACCGUAGAAUUUCUGCUACUGAAAUCAUGAAUAAGACGGGAGGAAAAAAAAAUAAGGGGCAGUGGCAUAUUGAUUGUAAUUUUAACAAAGUUGACCGACCAACGGCGCCCACCCAUCACCACCGGUUCUAAUUUAAUAUAUUGUAAUAGAAUAUAUUGUAAUAGAUCAGUUAAAUUCUAACAAGGGAGUUCUAAAAUUAGUUCUGCUCAAGAGAAGAAUAACCUAAGCGAAAUCCAGAUCGAGGACUGUUUGCACAUGGAAAACAUGGAAAGUUAAUUUCAGUGGAGAAUGCACGAGACAUGCACGCACGCUAAGCCUAAGCUGAUGCAAAAUUAGACUGCCAAGAGUUUUCUAGCUUAAGUGUAAUAAAAAGACCCUGGACAAAAGAGAAAAGACAAACGUGUUUCCCUUUACGUAGUUUUUGUUAACAGUUGAAGGAAAGGAAAAAAAAAUAGAUGCAUCUGUUGCUUUCAACCGUUGGUGUCGGCGGUACGUCAUCUUUUAGAACCCUGCCACCUGUUGAUUCUGUACAAACCACUAAAAUUCGAACGAGUAUGAAUUAUUUAAUCCGAGGCAAUUCAUACAUGCUCCUAGACCGGACAUGAAAACCACUGUCCUAACUAACUAAGAGAAUGUGCACUGUGUUGUCCUUGCGAGGUUUAUUGUCCUUCGAAUCUUCACACCAUGGUGAAUCAAGUGUAAAAUUUAUGUGUAGAAUACAUACGGAGUACUCGUUUUUUCAAUUUGAAGAGUACAUUUAAAAUGAAAAAUUGAGAGGAUGUCUUUCUCAAAAAACAAAUUGAGAGGAUGUAAAUGUAAAGUGAGCUCUCACUACUCUUCUUCUCCGCUGGGGUCACUCCCCAAAGAUAAGCAAACGCGAGCUCUCCCCCAUGCCCGCCGCCGUCACCGUCCACCUGGCGCCGCUCCCCAAUCACCCACCAAAACAACCUCCGCUGCCAAAGCCCAACGCCGCCUCGCUCCCGCAAUGGAACGGGCUCCUCGCCGACCUCUCCCGCGCCGGCCGCCACGCCGACGCCCUGGCCAUCCUCCCGCGGCUCCUCGCCGCCUCCGACGGCGUCGCCCCCGACAGGUUCACGCUCCCUCCCGCCUUAAAGUCCUGCCGCGGCGACGACGGGCGCCAGGUCCACGCGGUCGCCGCCAAGCUCGGCCUCGCCGACGGCGACCCCUUCGUCGGCAACUCCCUCGUGUCCAUGUACGGCCGGUGCGGCCGCGUCGACGACGCUGAGAAGGUGUUCGAGGGAAUGGCGGGCAGGAACCUCGUCUCCUGGAACGCGCUCAUGGCGGCCGUCGCCGACCCGCGGCGCGGCCUGGAGCUGUUCCGGGACUGUUUGGAGGACCUCGGCGGCACGGCGGCGCCCGACGAGGCGACGCUGGUGACGGUGCUCCCGAUGUGCGCCGCCCUCGCGUGGCCGGAGACCGGCAGGGCGGUGCACGGCCUCGCGGUGAAGUCCGGGUGGGACGCCGCGCCGCGGGUGAGCAACGUGCUGGUCGACAUGUACGCCAAGUGCGGCGAGAUGGCCGACGCCGAGUGCGCGUUCCUGGAGGCUCCGCCAGGCGCCGGGAGGAACGUCGUGUCCUGGAACGUGAUGCUCGGCGGGUAUGCGAGGAACGGCGAGGCUGGCGCGGCAUUUGGGCUCCUCCGGGAGAUGCAGAUGGAAGAGCGUGGCGUGCCGGCAGAUGAGAUCACCAUGUUGAGCGUCCUGCCGGUUUGUUCGGGGCUGCCUGAGCUGGCGAAGCUGAGGGAGCUGCACGCCUUUGUGGUCCGGAGAGGCUUGCAUUUGACCGGCGACAUGGUGCCGAAUGCGCUUAUCGCAGCCUAUGGGAGAUGUGGGUGCUUGCUCCAUGCCUGCCGUGUCUUUGACGGCAUCUGCAGCAAGAUGGUCAGCUCAUGGAACGCGCUCAUCGGCGCGCACGCGCAGAACGGCGAAGCGAGCGCCGCAAUUGAGCUGUUCCGUGAGAUGACCAAUGCUUGUGGGCAGAAGCCUGACUGGUUUAGCAUUGGGAGUUUGCUCCUGGCAUGUGGCAAUCUGAAGCACCUGCUCCAUGGCAAGGCAGCUCAUGGAUUCAUCCUGAGGAAUGGACUGGAGAAGGAUUCCUUCAUCCGGGUUUCGCUUCUCUCUGUUUACAUCCAAUGCGGGAGGGAGUCUUUGGCUAGAGUCCUGUUCGAUGCGGUGGAGGAAAAAGAUGAGGUUUCAUGGAACACCAUGAUCGCCGGUUACUCACAGAACGGAUUGCCCGGUGAAUCCCUCCAGCUCUUCAGGGAGAUGCAAUCCAAGAAAGGAGGCCACUGGCCAUCACUGCUUGCAGCAACAAGUGCCUUGGUGGCUUGCUCAGAAUUACCAGCUGUUCGACUAGGGAAGGAGAUGCAUUGCUUUGCCCUGAAAGCCGACCUCUGCGAGGAUUCGUUUCUAUCCAGCUCAAUCAUAGACAUGUACUCAAAGUGCGGAUCUGUGGAUGAUGCCAGGGUGUUCUUCGAUCGGUUGAAGGCGAAAGAUGCGGUUUCAUGGACGGUGAUGAUCACCGGGUAUGCCGUCAACGGUCGUGGGAAAGAAGCUGUUGGGCUGUAUGACAAGAUGGGGAGGGAGGGGAUGGAACCUGAUGGAUUCACCUACCUUGGCCUACUGAUGGCAUGCGGCCAUGCUGGAAUGUUAGAAGAUGGAUUGUGUUUCUUCCAGGAGAUGAGAAACCUUCCCAAAAUUGAGGCAAAGCUAGAGCAUUAUGCUUGCGUUAUCGGCAUGCUGAGCCGAGCAGGGCGCUUUGCCGAUGCCGUGGCGCUUAUGGAGGUGAUGCCAGAGGAGCCUGAUGCCAAGAUACUGAGCUCCGUGCUCUCUGCCUGCCACAUGCAUGGAGAGGUAGAGUUGGGGAAGAAGGUUGCUGACAAGUUGCUUGAGCUUGAACCCCACAAGGCUGAGCACUAUGUUCUCGCCUCCAACAUGUACGCAGGAUCCAGGCAGUGGGAUGAGAUGAGGAAGGUGAGGAAGAUGCUCAGGGACGCCGGUGUCGCCAAGGAGCCAGGCUGCAGCUGGAUCGACAUUGCAGGCAAGGUGUACAGCUUCGUCGCCGGGGAGAAUUCACUCCCGGAGAUGCACAAGGUGAGGAAGAUGUGGUACUCUUUGGAGGAGAAGAUUCGCGCUGCCGGCUAUGCUCCUGACACCACGGUCAUGCUGCACGAGCUGGAGGAAGAAGAGAAGGUAGAGGCUCUGCGAUGGCACAGCGAGAAGCAGGCCAUCGCGUUCGGGUUGCUGAGGACAGCCGGGCCGACGAAGGUGAGGGUGUUCAAGAACAUCAGGAUGUGCAAGGAUUGCCACAAUGCCGCCAAGCUCAUCUCCAAGGUAGCAGACAGGGAGAUUGUGGUCCGGGACAAGAAGAGGUUUCACCAUUUCAGGGACGGGCUAUGUUCCUGUGGGGAUUACUGGUGAAUUAGAAGGGAAUGCAAAUUCUUUUGCAUUUAAACGUUGUACAGAAUUGUAAAAGGUAGAGUUCAGGAACAUGGUAUGCAAAGGGAUACAUCCAAAUUAGCAGCAAAACUGUUUUUGAACAUUCAAAAGAAAUUCCUUUGGUCCCGCUACACCAUUUACACUUGCUCCAGCACGAACCUACGAAUCAGAUGUGUUGUCUGGAAAUGCAUUGACAAUGUUUACUUCCAGAUAGCAAUUACACCAGCAUUUUAACAUCUAAGCUUUUACCCCCCAAAAAACAUCUAUGACUAUGUUACAUACGAUGGAAAGGCAGGUAAACUAAACAAACACACAAUACAAACUAUCAUUAUCGAUCCGAGCAUGCCUCAGAAAAAAGAGUUGUGCUGGCUCGAUCUCAAGUCUUGGCACUGCAUUAGAAAACUUGUAGGAGUUGCAUUUAUCAACACCAUCUCAUCCUAACUCAUUCAUCACUUCAUUGAGAUAGUCAUGACGGUGGGAUGUUUAUAACCAGAUGAUCUACAACCCAUCCUGCAAUUGGCAGUGACCCCCAGCUGGAUGAUCUACAACCCAUCCUGCAAUUGGCAGUGACCCCAGCUGGAUAAUGGUUCAAUUGUUCAGAUCCAAUAAAGAAUAAAGAAAUUCAGAAGCAUGUGCAUGCAUCUGGUAGAAGCGGUACUUUACAUGAUCCACUCAUACAUCUGUAGAUUUAUCAAAACCCGUUAGCAAGCUCAUCAAGUACAGAGAGAAAGAGGAGUGGGAGCUGGUGAGUCAAGAUGGGAGACUGAAGUUUGACAGCACUCACCUUCUUUAAGUUUGGAGCAGAGAAGCUCAGCUACAGAUUCUUCUACACUAGGUAUGGUCAAUAGUAGCAAUUCUUACUGGAAGCUUUGUACAUUGAAAUGUCAAGCCAGAGUGGUUACUGAACUCCUAGAUCAUUUGACAACUGCAAUAUCCCGCGCAUUUGAAGGUAUGGAUUCUCCAAAAGUUUUUCAUUGUUACACUGAAGACAACAUAAGUAGCAUCAGUGCCAAAUUAAUUUAUGAAGGGAAUUAAAUUUAUUAUCGAGCUUGAACUGCCUGAACAUAUCAGCACGAGGUAAUCUAGAUAACAGAUGCAUAUAAACAAGAUCCCUGUACCUUUCCAAAAAAAUUAAUUUAAAUUUCACCCUGAUGAGAUGAGAAAGGCAAGGAGCAUUACCUGUUGAGCCUUUGAAAUGAGACUUUGAAGCAUCCGUUGGUAGAUCUCUGGUUCUUCUGUCAUCAUCCUCUGUACAUCCAAAUUUCAUUAGCGAGAAGUGCAAUAGAACUAUCAGCAAGAAAUUAACAACUGCAACAGGCAUACCUUCAAAAGAAAAGCAGCAGAAUAAUAUGCUACCCUUGAGUCUGUAUCAUCUAGAAGCCCCCUAUUGGUGUUGGGUGGAGAAAGGACAAAUAUCAAGCAUUAGCUAUGCACGACACUUUAACCGACAAAGAUAUGCAGCUUAGAAUAGACUACCUGAAGAACUCAUUGCCUUCAACUUCCUUAAGUGCUUCCUGAUCCGCUGUGCAUUUCCCAAUCAAAAGCAAAAGAAGGGCCGCUCUAAUAUCUGAUGUAGCGCCAGGAAUAUUGCCUCUACCUGUGCUACCGACAGCAAUACCCAAUGCAAUAUCAUCACUGGCAGCACCUUCAAGUUGCAUCAAUGGCCAGAAAAACAAUGAAGUUGGUACACAGGUUACAAGCUGCAUCGGAGCUAUUGCAAGACCUCUCAGAAGUAGUGCUGCCAUUGAUGUUUCACACAACAAAGUGGAUUGAUUAUUCAUGCUUAUAUCUUGCAAUGUCUCAUUCCUGCAAAGGUUCUUGGUUCCUGUAUUUUGGUGCGAUGCAAGGGUUUCCAAAGGGCUCUCAAUGUUCUUAGUUGUACAACCAAAAAGUUGACCAAGGGAUUGAAGGCCUCCCAGUUGUAUCACAUUCGUGGACGGAAGCCUCAGACAUAAUUGUGAAAACAACAUGUCACACAUCUGUAUGAGGAAAGUUCAAAUUAGAGAGGAUUAAAUCAUAAAGCUCAAGAGUACUACUGGUUGAUAUAGACACGUCAUUCCACAUCCAACAUGGGAUCCAAGAGGUAAACAACUACCUUCAGAACUUAAACUGGCUGUAGAACAACUUGCUUUUAGCAGUUAAACUGGACAUUCAGUUUUUAAUCAGGGGAGUCAGGUACAAAAUUAAUUUCAGUUUUUGCAGGUAGAAAUUGAAACUUAGAAGCCUAUGCUUUGUUUCAGUUGCCUACGAAUAUCAACAAUGAGAUCUUUCUAAGAAUCCGCCAUCAAGUUCUAGCAUGCAAGAAUAUUGACACUAACACACUAAUCCUUAUUGCUAAACGGAAUAAGCACAACGACCAAGCAGGUUCAUUGCUGUCAAUGAUUACAGAUGUCCACCCCAUUAAAAACUAAGAAAGGCUGCCGGUCAGUAACAAGUUCACAACAGAAAGCAACAUGCCAGCCUGACAGCAGAAACUGCUAACUGGGAACUUUAUGGGUCGUAAUCAGUAACAAGGAAUUGUCAACAAUGAGAAAAAAUUACGAUGUUACUAGUUUUUUUCUAAAUAUAAAUAUACCAUACAUUGCCUCUUGCAAACUUUUAGUUGUGAACUUUCACUUUUUUAAGGCAACUUUAAAAUAAACAAUUAAGGGUAGCUUGAAGCACAUACGCCAAAUGCCUGCUGCACUUGGGUGAAAGAAAUUCACCUUUAAGAUGUUGAUAUGGUCUGUCUCAUUAUUUUGAACCACGAGUAACAAAGCACUACUCAUAAUAUCUAUAACCACAAAAGCUUUGUCCAGACGAUUUUUGCUAUGAUAAGCAACUGAUUGAUCUUGCAUGUCACUGUCAUCCAAUAAUAAUUUGCAGCGCAUCAGAAAUUUCUCUAAAACAUAAAGAAAUCCCCAUCUAAUGAAGUUGUGUUUUGAUUUCAGAAGCCCACAUAGCAGACAAACGGGCAGUGAAACUUCUGAACAUGAUACGUCUUGGCUGCCAGCCACUUUAAUUUCCACUUGGAGCUUUUGGACUUUAGACCAGAUAGAGCCAUCUGUUUCUUCACUAAUUUCCGAGAGGAGCAAUUCAACUAACCAAAUAUAUCCAUGGUGCCUAUAUGAUGAGAUUUGUGAGUGAAGAAGCGAGUGCAAAGUAGCCCAGCAAAGCCUUGCUCUAUGUGCAAGAUCACCAUCUUCACUUCCCUCUUUAAUGCUGCUGAAACACUUGAAGGAUUUUGUUACUUGGAUCAUGUAAGUAAACUCAUUGUCAAUCCUUGAAAAUGUGCUGACAGUUGCAUCAAUUUUCCCGAUAACCUUUUCUAGAAGCUACAAGUAUUGAAUUUUUUUAUCAGAACAAACACAGUAUUUCAAAGCGAAUAUCAACGUAUAUUGCCGUGGUUCGAGACGAAAACAUAUACUGCAGUUUUUAUCAUGAAAUGAAGUCAAAUGAACAUACUAAGUGUGAAUAGCAGAAUGUUGCACGAUCUACUCGGUUAAUUAAAUUAACAAUGGGGAUUCUUGGUGAUGACUACCGCAUGUUUAUGUGCACGCGUACAGACCUCAGUUGAGAUACACAUUAUAGAGUUGAUUACUGGAGCCCUCAAUGUUGUGGAUGCAACUUACAAGCAAUGCACAAGUUCAAACAUGUUUUCAUAGUUAAUUUAUUUGGUAUUAGGUGUUGAUACUCUUUUGUAUAAACUUGGUCAAACAUAAAAAAAGUUUGGCUUCGAACAAAAAUUAUAUGAUUUAUAUUGUGGGAAGGAGGGAGCAACUAUCUACUCUUAGCUUCAUAAAGAGCUGGUUGUGCUCAAUCCACAUUUAUCACAUACUAGUACCAUAUAGUAACAUAUAGUCAAAGGCAUAUUACCACAUUUAAUUGCUCGUAUUCUGCUGACUGUGAUAAUGCCGCAGAUAUAGCUUUUGUCAGCAUGUCCCCAACACCUUCAACGCCAUGCUUCACGGAUAUAUAGAAUGCCUCUGGGGCAUCAGCAGAUGCAAGAAGGGAGGCGAGGGGCUGAGCAUCAUCAUAAGUAUAUGUUGAAAGACUGCCAGCCAAGCAUGUUUCAUUUAUCUGAUGCAGUACGUAAUCAAAAAGGACAAAGAACAAAUCCCGCUUCUCUUCUGCUGAGUUAGCUCGUGAAUACUGUAAAUGACCAGAAAUUGCAUUUAUUAAUAACUAGACAUAAUAUUGUGGAAAUGCCCAUCCUGCUAUCCACAUAAGGGUCACUAGAUGCAGAAACAUUUGUUAUUUCACGAAAAAAUUCCUAUCUAUGUUGAGCUAUUGCCUGAGGUUUGAGGAGCUUGGAACAAUGGACAGCACAGCAUGCUGAACUGGGGUUCCGAUUGCAUAUGGUUGCAGUCAGCAAUCGCAACCAGGAUAGUCAAUCCUGUCCAUUCCGGACGUUUGACCAGAAAUUGAGACAAACCAAUGUUGUAUUUGGCCUCUCAUUUUAUGGAACAGAAUGGGAUAUUCCAGAUAGUACUGGAAUGGGAUAGAUAAGGUUAGCUAGCUAGGACAUGACAGUGAUGCGCUAGUGGAGACUGACAAUUGAACAGGUGAUCCAUAUUCCUAUGGAUCUUCGGGUCUAUUGUUCACUUGUACUUUCUGCACAACUGAGAUAGCAAGAUGAUAAUAUGUUACAGUAGAAUAGACAAAGUGCUCAGCUGUCAACAUCCAUGCAUGAAACAGCAAAAUCCAACUAAAUAUAAGGGUAAUACCUCAAGACAGAUAUAGUCAACUCCACCAAGAAGAUCUAUCCGUUCUGGAGCAAACUGUGUAUCAAGGGCACUGCUCUGAGUUUCAUCUGUUACUUGGUACAGCAUAUUUGUCAGCAUGCAAAUGAGCUUACUGUGCACUACUUUUGCCCAUGAAUGUUCCACACUAAUCUCAAGAAGAGUUUUAACAACCUGCUCAUGAUUAAAAAAAAAAAGGCAAAUAAGUUCUCAGGCCCUUGUGAGCAAGAAAUAGCACAAUUUACAUCUUUUAGAAACCUUUCGCAGACCGAGAUCAAACUGGCUUAUCAUAUGUCAAAUAUAUGAGAAAAAACCUGACUACAUGCAUCAAAGCCAUAAAGAAGCAGAAGAAGCAGUCCAAGUGCAUUUCACAGCCUGCUAUGGCAGAAAAAUCUUAUGCUGGAAGCCUGGAAUACCAUUCUACACCAAGAUAUCAGAAACACGUCAACAAGACGACGACAACAAUAGCAAUAAUCUACUAAAACCUGUAAUUCAGUAACGCUGCUAGUUGUUGUUUUCAUUUUUCAUUAAUACAUUUGCGUAAUACACAAAUACUCCCUCCGAUCCAUAAUAAGUGUCUCAGAUUUUGUACUAACUUAGUACAAAGUUGUACUCCCUCCGUCCCAUAUUAAGUGACGGAAUAUUACAUGUAUCUAGACGCUUUUUGGGUAUAGAUACAUCCAUAUUUGGGCAAAUUUGAGUCACUUCAUAUGGGAAGGAGGGAGUACUAAAUCUGAUACACUUAUUAUGGAUUGGAGGGAGUAGUGGAAAACAAAAGUGUACGUGUAUUGUCUAGUAAGCUGAAAUUCAUAGUGCUCAACUGAUAUAUGUUUAGCUUGAAUGAGACAUAAAAUGUGUACAGUUUGAACUACAACUCCAAUAUUCACCAUACCAAUCUUCAGCACUUAACUUCUAUAUAGUCCAAAGGCACGUGAAUAACAGGAUUGAAAAAAUGGGAACAGAUAGAGUCCAAGCACACUGUUCAAGAGAAUGAGUACAUAAACUCAUAAAGAAAGAUGUGUUUCUUUACCCUUAUGUCCAAACCUCCAAGUCUGCUCCGGAUGAUUUUCCCUCCAUCGCAAACAAAGUAAAACAGACAACUUAAAGCUGAUGCCCAUACUAUCUCUUGUCGCUCUUCCAUCUACAAAACCAAGAAGAUCAUAUAAAGCUAUCAUAUGUAUCAGCCUAGCAUAAAUAGGAGCUGUCAGUGAAGAACUUAAAGAUGUAGAAAAAUAUUAGAGGCCUAAAUGAAUACGAAAUUCAAUAUUCUAACCACCUGAACUAAGAGAAGAAGAACUUCAAAUAGUAUUUUCAGAAGCCAGGACUCAAACUGAUCGAUAGCAGGGCUAAACUGAUCGAUAGCAGGGCUAAUCCUCUGCUCUUCUUCAGGUUCUGCUGCCUUCUGUUCAUCCAUACUUGGUCCGUACUCGUUCAGAUAAGAGUUAUUUGCAGUUUCACCUUUUUCAACAGGUGGUGCGUUAUAAACUAUCAUAGGCUCCAGCAGGUGCGCAUGAAUCCCAAGGUUUAGAAUAAGAUCAAAAGCCUUUGUUCUUGCAGGCGAUUUUUGAGAGCUCAGCAUACCCUGGAACAUAAAAAAAUAUUAGAAAUAUUUCACAUGUUCCUUUUUGGGAUGCAUACAUGUAAAGAGUAUAACACCUCGAGCAUAUAAAGUGUCAGAGGAGCUGCAGCCUCAGGAUCCAUCAUAUACCUGAACCAAACAAAACAUAAUCAUUAAAACACAAAACAACUGUAGUUCUAUGGUUUCAAAGGUAGUUUUAGCACCAAAUCGAGAUAAGUAUAGUUUCUACGAUUUUGAGAAAAACAUUUGCUCACAUGUCACAUCUUGCAAGAAUUGUACUUUGAUGCAUAAACCUCUGCACCAUUACAAUGUAACUAAAUUACUGGAACCACUUAUUUUGGUAAAAAGAACUAUGGUAAACAUGGAAAUCUUUAGUACACAUACAUCAGCCCAAAAAUAGAAGUUAAUAAUUACAAAAGCAAAGCAUCGAGCAAGCUGACAACACAAGAAAAAAAACACAUGCUUAUACGAUAAAAUAAAUAGCAGAACAAUAUGCAAUUCAGACAAAUAAGAAUAACAUGGCAGAUCAUGUCACUUAGAGAUUUAUGUAUUAAACUAUACUAUCAGUUCACAAUGGUUCGUGAGGCCUGAAAUCUGCAGUAAUAAGAGUACUACCUCUAAUGGAAGCAAACAGCAGAUUAAAAAAUAACGAAAAUAUGCCAACACAAUUCCAGGGGAAAAAAAAUCUUGAGAGCAUUCAUCAAUCUGUGAACUGGACAAAGAAUGAAAAAGGGUGUAAGAUUAUAUACAUGUCAAUGACGAGUUUAAUGAGGACACUGAACGCCACAUCCGCUGAAGGUUGCCGGCUCUGGGUGGUCAAUCUUGAUGGAGCAUUGAACUGAUUUGCAUUUGAAGUUAUUUCUGAACAAACUUCAGCUAUGACUUCAGAUAUUUCAGCAGGGUUCAAUCUUAAGGGUUGCUGCUCACUAUUGAACAAAGGUACCACAAUGAGCAGCCAAUGCAUGUAAGCACAUUGUUAGACAUGAUCGUAAGUUCGUAACACAUUCAUAAACACGUGAAACUCAAGCUGAAUCAUGGUAUCCCUACUAUCUAGCUAACACUAGUACUAAAUGGUUUCACUGGGGCUUAUUGUAUGACGUACUAUAAAUGGACAAAUGUUUCACAGAUGGAAAAUGAGAGUUAUGUGACAAAAUACAAUUUUGAAUUUCUAUACUGCCUUGUUAACGAAGUACAGAUUAUUGUCAGAGCCCCAUCACCAUCAAAAUGCAUGUCUAGCUAUUUUUUUUCUUCUUUCUCUAUAUCAUGGUUGUGAUGGUAGAAAAUUGGUUCAGCCAUAAUUAACUCAGGAUAUUUCAAGUUCAGUGAUGCAACGAUGAUUUUACAAAGUACAUUUACACUUCAAUAUAUACAGUCCUGUACAAAAUGCUAUGCUAGAUCCUAGAUUAUAUGCAAAGUAAAUAAAUGAAAUAAGGAAAUACCUGUAGUGCCUAUACUGAAAAAGGGGGCGUGCUCGAGGCUGGUAUGUGUUUGCAGGUAUGUUCAUCCUACAAAAGAGUAGAUUUUUCCCCAUGUAAGACCUUUUCUAUUCAUUUUAUUAAUCUCAAUAAUUUAACAGCUUCGCAAUAAUGACUUUGUUCAUAAUGAUAUGUCAACACAGACAAAAAAGUUUUUCUCAAAAUACAAAUUUCAUCAAGUUCACAACUAGAAAUAUCGACUACACUAAUGGGAAGAAAAUUUUCAUAUGAGCAAACUUUGAACAGCAUUUUAAAAGUCAAGAUAACCUUCUCAAAAAAACUGGAAAGGAAAAGGGACAGGGAAGGGAAGGAGGAAUGUGUUUGAAGCAUGCAAGGAAACCUAUGCUAUCAUCACAACUUAGUAUCGGUAUACAUGAACAAAAAAACGUACCAAACUUGACUUGGGCCCGAUUUCAUGCGUUUUGAGGCGGUUAUUGCUUUCAAAUGACCCUGUGAUGAAGCAUAAGUACUAGCUGUAGAAGUUGAAGGUUGCAACAAAUCAAUAUCGGGAAAUUCCUGGAUAACAGAAUAUUUCCAUUGUUGAUCAUUGAUCUUUGCCUCCAUAUCUCCUACUAGAAGGGCUGCAGCACCAACUUCAAGAAAACCCUGUGUAUGAAAAUCUUGAAGGCCUGCAAACUCAUUGCUGGUGAUAAAGGAAACAAACAAUGCAGUCAGUGUUUGCAAGACUAUUAGUAUCAUACUUCUAAAUUCCAUUCCAGCCAGAAUGACUGGGAUGCUUCAUUCCAGCCAGAGUGACAAGAAAACCCAUACAAAACACUGACCUUAAACAAUAAGCACAAGAGAAAUACCUUUCUUUGGCAGAAUUCGAUGCUUGUCGUUCACCAUGUACAUGCCAUCGCCAGUUUAAAAUGUCAAAGGAUAUAUACUUGAUAUCAUACCCAUGCUCUCCCCCAUCAACCUUUUCGCUUGCUGAUGAUAUUAAAUCGGAAGGAGUAUGGCUUUCCUUUGAUUCAAGAUGUUCUCUGUUGGUAAUAACUUCUGGAGUCAACUGAGACACUAAGGACUUAUUCAAAAAUGACGAAAGUGAAGGAAGUGAUUGUUUUGUAGGAUUUGAUAUAACGGAUUGAGGGAAUGACAGCUUUGGAAUAUGCCUUGCAACUAACAAGCGGACAUAGUUUAAAGAUUUCACAAGAGACGCGGAAGCAAAGUUUGAUAUUGGUGGGGCAGCAUGAGAGGAAUUUGGCAAAGCCGCUGAUGAUACAAGAGUCUGGCCAAAUGAUGAUGUUCUGUGACUUGCCACCGGGUCAUACUUUACUAUUGUAUUUGCACAAAAGAGAUCGAUCUGACGUAGUGUCUGCACCCUUGGAAUAUACCUUGGAAUGCAAAAUUGUAUAGUGUAUUAGUGUUAGUGCAAGCAAUUUUCGAGAAGAAGUACAGUACUCUGGCAAGGGACACUCCGCUUACCUAAUAAGAUAUCUCUUUAACAAUGCCACACAUCUUGGGACAACCGCUGGGCUGGUUGAAAACAUUGUCCAUGUUAGGAAAAGGAGUAAAAUCAUACAUAUUCUAUUUUAAGAAGCACCAUAGAAAAUGCAGAUCAAAGAGUCAAGAUGCACCAAUAAAUUGUGAAUAAUUUCCCUCUCCGAUUUCUAUUAAAGAAACCAGGGUUCUACAUGAGAAUAAUUCCAAGUAUUCCAUAUUUUCAUUCGUUUUGAUUAUGCCAUAGAGGAACAAGCAAAAUAAUUGGAGCUUAUGACUUACGACACAAGGCUAGAUAAGUUUCUUAAGAAUAAUGCAGGAGCUACAUAUAAUCCACAUAAGCGCAAUAUGGUGGACAAUCAAAAGGUAUUCCCCCCUUCUAACUUAAAAUGGAGGGGGUGGGGGGGGGGGGGGGGAGGUAGAAAAGGCAUUGAAAUAUCAAAGCUGAAAGCAUACCUGCGAUCUCUUUCUGCAACAGCAUGGUCAAUCAGGACAUUGUAAGCCAUAUCAAUGGUUGAUAGAUUGGCUAUAUAAUCCUGCCAGUAUAUGAUCACCUCAUUAAGAAAUGGCAUAUGUACGAAAUGACUUGACGUAUACCAAGUAAAAAGAAUACUAGUGAAUUAGAAAACUUUGUUUGUGUCCAACGCUUACAACACAGACAGCUGUAACAGACAAAGCAGAGAACCUAAAUAUGCUGGGCAGUGAUGGAUCAUAACGGAUAUACCAAACAAUUAAUAAAGCGAGCGACAAAGCAGCGAUACUAACAUAUGGUAAGAAGAAUGUAAUUAAGAAUGAGAAUUGAUAAAUAAAAUGUCCAAAUGCUGAUAAUCGUAACGUAUAAACUGCCUUUACCUUGCAUCUUCAUUAUCGUUUCACUGGAAGGAGAUGGUAAGGUUUAAUCCACCACCAAAAUAGGCCAUAACAGCCUGUUAGUAGCCUUAAAUAAACGACACGUGUUCCGUUCACGGAUCAUGCAGCCAUAAAUACAAGAAUUGGUCAAUGAGUACGCGACAAGUUCCGUAAUGACGCCCCCUGGGCAAGGAUUGUCUCUUAGCGCCACUGAAAUAAGCUGGGGUCACGUUUCAAAUUACUAGACCUAUAGAUGCAAAUUCUGCGUGUUGUUCGAUGGAUUUAUGCGGCGUAGCACUGGCAUCGCACACGGCAAAGCAAAUUGAGGAGCUCCAUAGGGCGCCGGUGACUCGGCGAUGUAUCUCAGGGCAGCAAACAGCGGCGAGCAUUGCCAAAUCAAACCAUUUGCAGCUUGCUUGACGUGAUCCGGAGCUAUGUAGGCGGGGCAUUGCAGGCGUGCGAGGGGCUAAAACGAAUGUUGACAGGAUUUAAAGGGAGACCGGGAGGGAGGGAGGGACUGACCCGUAGAGUCCGGGACGCCUCGGUGGCGGCGGAGGCGGCGGCGGCGGGCGGGCCGUGGGUGUGCGGCGCGGGCGGGGAGAGGCAGUCGGCGACGGCCCUGCGGAGCGGCUCGGGCGGCUUCCGCGCGGAGGUGACGCCGGAGAAGGACGGCGCGGUGGACAUGGACCGCGGCGGCCGCUGCGGGGGCACCACGGAAGCGGCGGCGGCCGCCAACGCCGCCGCCGACGACGACCCCGCCACCCCCGCGUCGUAGUAGUGGCGGCUGCUGCUGCUGCUGCCGGCGGCGGCAGCGGCGGCGGUGGCAGCGGCCCGCUUGGACGGCGCGUCGCGGCGCCGCAUCCUUCUGCGGAGGCCCGUGACAGCAGGUGGCGAGAUCUCCUCCGAUGGGUCUGGUGGCAAACCCUAGGCAGGCAGGGCAGGGCAGUCCUCGGCGUCGCCAGUCAGUCCGCGCGGAGGAGCAUUCGGGAGAGCCAGCCAGUCGUCUCUGGCCUCUCCUGCAGGGAUCAGGGUGCAGGGAUCGUUCCUUCUUCUCGGGUGGCUGGUCGUCUGGGGAAGAAGAAGAAGAAGGCCUCUCCUGCAGUCUGUGGGCUAGCUCCCUCCUAGCUGGUUGCCUGGUUUGCCAGAAUUUUAUUUAUGUUUGUGAAAACCAGCUCUAAAGAACAAAACAAGAAAAAAAUGGUUUUUAUCUUUAUCGAAAAUUGACGUAUUUUGUUUCGUUAGAACAAGCAUGUCUUAACAAAACAAAAGGAGGGAGCAGUAGUAUUAUACUCCUUCCUUCUAAAAAGGCUUUGACCAAUAAUAAUUCAUUAGUAUGUCAUCUGUAUGAUAAGAAACCACGUUUAUCAGGAAGAACUUGAUGACAAAUUUAAUGUGUUAAAAACACAUGUUGAUAAAAUAAUCCUUGGUCAAAACGUUUUUUUCCAAACGGAACCAAACAUCCAAACCUUUGUGAAAAGGAGAGAGUAUUAUCCAAAAUGAAAAUUUUCAGUUUCAGAUUCUUGCCCACUGAAAAUUUGCCCCACUUAACUUUUUUAUCCAUCUAUUGUUAUACAUACUUACCACAGUAUAUACCCAAGCCACUGAGAUGCUAUAUACUUUCCGUUGUUAAACACAUACACUAUAUGGUACUACAUGUUGUCAUUGUGUCCGUCAUGUUGUACGUACAUAGUGGUUUUAUUUAUCUCUCAUCAUGGUAGCAUUAGAGGUUUGUUCUUCCAUUUAAGAUUGAUAUCCGUUUUUUAUUUGAUUUCUAGUAGUUGCGAAAAUGUUCUAACGGGCCAGCCAUCCUAUAUAAUAUAGCCCGCUCGGCCCACGGACCUGCUUCCCAUCGAACCCGAGACGGCCCAUAACCCAAUAAACUAUCCUACCCGUGGUCGCAGUCUAUAGACAGCCUGCCCGACUCUGACGUCUGCUCCUCUUAUCCCGCUCUGGCCAAGGCCGUGCGAGCAGUGGCUGCCAAGGGCCUCUUCCUUGGGGCUCUGUGUUGCAUUCGUGGCUCCGUUUGCCAAUUAAGGAUACAUAUACUAGGUUUGUAGGAAUGCAAAACAUAUGAAUAGGAAAAAUCGUAUGAAUAGAAUAGAAAACCAUACGCAAAAGUGAGAAUUGAAAAACAGAAUCGGCGGCUCCAGAUGCUGUGAUCGCCGUCAGCCAGGGAGGCAACUCUGGAUGGACGUACGAGGAGAUGGCAUAUAUAUUCCGAUGCGGCGGAGACAGUGGACAUGAACUCCACAUCCCGCUGGCGACCAAGAUUUUGUUGGGAAUAUGCCCUAGAAGCAAUCAUGUAUGAUGUAAUUCCCAAUGUAUUCAUAAAUAUUAUUAAGUUGUCCUUGUUUGAACAUCUGAUAUGUAUCAUUGAAUAUGUGAUUUGAUUGUGGAACUAUGUAUUCAUGUUGUUCAUACUAAAUUGUCCUUAGUCAUUGAGGUUGUGCUGGACACAUAACCUAGACUAAUGUGAAAGUUGGCUGAUGACUCGGUUUCACUUGUCAUGGGCAUGGUGAUGUCAUUCCAGCUUACACGGACUCGGCUAAAGAGUUUAGCGAGUUGGACUGACCCAUAUUGAGAUGCAACGAGUAGGUCGUCAUUUGCAUGUCUCAAUCAAUGUAAUCCUUAGACCUGAGGUUAUCGCACAAUCCGAGUUGUGGAUCACCAACUUAGGUUCUGUCAAACGUUGUUCCGUAACAGGGCAGUUAUAAAGGCAGAGUUCGGGUUGACUGAGAAUCAAGCUGUGUGAUGUGGAUAACCAAGAUGGGAUUUUGCCCCUCCGACUGGAGAGAUAUUCUCUGGGCCCUCUCGAGUGAUAUGAUUCGGGAAGCAUGGCCAUGCGCGACUUGGUUAACUGUUAACCGGGUCGAUCGACUAAGAGUUAGUCGGAUGAAUCGUAUAUCACAGAUCGAGAAGAGAGUUGAACUAUUAAAGGGAUGACGAUUAAUCGCCUAUAGUUCGACAAGGUAUAUCGUGAGGCAAAAGGGACUAAGACGUAUGUCACAUUGGAAGGUACGUCGUCAUGACUCGAUGGUACUUGGGAGUCGGCACGUUCUGCUAGGAGCCGCUACCGAUUGAUCGAUUGUGAGUCAGACUCCAAUCGUGUCCAAGUCGCCAUGAGCCUGCGGGGUCACACACUUAAGAGCGGGAGCAAGUAUUUGGUCGGGUUGGACCCGAACUGGAAUUGGGCUGACAAUGCGAGUUGGACUCGCAGGGUGGAUGGGCCACAAGGCUUGGAGCCCACUUCCACUCGAUAUAUAAGCAGGGGCGUGGGAUGCCUAAGGGGCACGGUUUUUCCACUCUCAUGCGUUGAGAACCCUAGCCCGAUUCAGUUCAACCGUCGCACCGGACCUAGCAGUUCGCCGCCGGAGCUCCUCCUCGCACGUGUGGAUACCGGCAGAGGUGUUGUACGUUCAGCACUUCGACGAUCGCGGGAUUGGAUCGGCUGGAUCGGAUCGAGGGACUGCACUGCAUCAAGGCGCCGCAUCAAUAAUCUGCAACUGCGCGUCUAGUGGUAAUCCUCGUGGCCUUCUACCUCGGCUAGAUCUUGGGAGUUCGCGUAGGAAAAGUUUUUUGUUUAUCUCUACGCGCCCGUUCAGAUUUCUGUAGCGCUCUCCCUCCCUCUCCAUUCUCCUCCUGAUUCCUCUGUUGAAUCCCUCCGUCCCCUUGACAUUCCUCUUACCAAUCACUAAGAUCGUUUCUGCGUACCGAUUUGUCUGUGCGUCUUUUUUUUCCAAUCCUGCAUGCUUGCUUGCUUAAGUUUCGCGUGACUUCUUGUUUGCAGUUGACAGUUUGCCGUGUCAUGGGUUAAUGUUGCUGCUGUUUGAGACGCCCUCUGGCUUCGCACUUUACACGUUUUAUGGGGCUUCCUAUAUAUGGCUUUGGAUGUAAUGUUCUUCUUUCUAACCUUUGUCAACCAUGUCCUUGCUUGUUCAUGUGGUCUACGCCAAUGACCUAAUUUUCUAUUCCAUCAUUUGUCUCCUACAGAAUCUCUGGUUAGGUUUUGGAGACCCCCACCUGGCAAGGAUGGUUAGUUCCAACGACUUUCCUUGCUUUCCCUUCUGAUUGCUAUUGUUAUCUUAUAUGCUUGUUGUUAAAUUCCAUCUUUGCAUUAAGGGAGAAUAUGAACUCGUGCUCUUUGUUUACUAAUAGCCUCAAAACACAUUUUCUCCCCAAUUCUAAGCAUGCAGCAUGAUGCUAGUUUCGCUGAAAGGUUCAAGGAUUCUAAAUAAUCAAUCAAUGCAAUCCAGAGACGUGCAUGAUAAUUAAUUCCUUAAAUGUUUCUUUGUGCCCAUGAACAUGCUUGCUGCUAUUUCUUUAUCAGGCGGUUCAUCCGAAGGGAUUUCUAUCUUUUGAGGACAAAUCCAGCGCCAUCAAUGCUGAUACUGGUCUUGACAACCAGCUUGUUGCUCUGAUCAACGACUAAAGAGGACCGCUUACCAACGAGUCAAGGACUAAUGAAGUUCCUGAGUAAUCGUGGAUUUGAUGUCAAACUAGAGAUGGUGAGUUCACUAGUUGGACUUGACAUGCUUUCUGAUUUAUAGUUCCCUGCUAUUUAGUAUUAGUUUAUGUUGACAAAUUAGGUAAUUUCGAUGAAUAUUUAAUCCAGAAGGACAGUGUGUAAAACAUGUAGCACAUUAUAUCAUGCAAACUAGACAAAUUAAAUAGCAACACACAGCAAUAAAACUCAUCUAAUUUCACGGCAUGAAUAAUAGAACUACUAAUCAAAAUCAACAAGAAAGAGCAGAUUACGUACGGUGCUGUGCUCUUUUCUUGUGUUUGUUUGUUGAGGUCGGUGACGAGUCCGGUGGCGUCGAUGUUCAUGCCGGCAGCAGCAGCAGCCUUGACUACCUCCUGAGCAACGGCCAGUGCCUGCGCUUGCGCCUGUGCAGCAGUUGCCUGGGCUUGAAGUUGGGCAGCCUGCUGCUGUGCUUGGAGUUGUGCAGCCUGCUGCUGCUGAGCUAGAGCGGCAGCCUGAGCCGCGGGAUCUCCGAGGUCGUCGGCCAUUGGUGAUGAAGAUGCCGAUGAAACAGAAACGUGAAGAAGCGAGCAGUCCCGUGAGAACGCUCCCCAAAAACCUUAUCGACCGUCUCCCGGGCAGGAUCUCGAAGGUCGGGGUUCCGGAGGCCUGCUCUCCCGGCGAUCUGUGCACGCAGUCGACGGGAUGGAGUAGCAGUUGGCGGCGAACAACGAGAUUGGAUCGUGGGCGUGACGGCUAGGGGUUUUUUUGCGUCGUUUUUCCGGAGGCCGGGGUAGUCUUAUUAUAUAGGCAUGCAGGCGGACUUCGGUUCGGUUUAGGAAACCAAAACCGACUCCGCAAUUAUCGGGAUUUGUUACGCGUCCGCAACGGAUUCCGACUGCCAAAAAGAUAAGCACGACCCGGGACGGCUCGGGCUCGGGCUCGAUCCACGAAACGCGGCGCGCGCGCGUCGUGACGAGGCGAGGCGAGCGGAGGAGGAGGAGCGCGCGUAGGGAUUUCCCUUGCUCACUUGCUCAAGAGGUGAGAACCAACAUACCUUAUAUAUUGGUCCAACUCCCCCUAAACUAGCAAUGUGGGACUAUUCCCACUUCCUCAUCCCACUACAUGAAUGGGCUUUUGAGAUUUUUCAGAAAUUAAUUUCAGAUUGGUCCUUGGGCCUAACCCAAAAUUCCAAUAAUCCCCCACAAUAUCUCAUAAGCACAUAAAAUUGCCGUUGAUCCAAAACUCUGUUUUUGAUAUACCAGCGUUUCAGUGGAGACCGGUUAAGGUUGAACAUCUACCUAAACAAAUUGCUUCACUCACGCACAACUGAACAAUGGACAAACCUUGAAUUUUCAGUUUUCUAUGUUAGAGCUUCACUAAAUUGUUGUCUGGUACUGGGCUGCCGAAUGCUACCCCGCAGUGUGGAGCAUACAAGUCAUUCUCCAGGCCUUUUCAUGAGCUUACUAGAGACCACCCAAAUCUCAUAGACUGCGACCAACAGUCAGGCUCAUAUAGGUGUGUUAUUUAGAGACUACUCUGUAGGAUAGUAUCUCCCUUGCAAAUUAAUGCAACGCGUUAGAACACAUUAAGUUAAACAACCUACCAUACAGUACACGAGAGUAAUGCAUCGUCAACGAAGUGGGAUAAAGAAUGUACACUCUCCUCAGUUAUCCAAUGACUUGUUUCCCAGGUCCUAAUUCACGGGAUCUCCGAUCACAUAGGUUGGUUUACCGCCAUGGUAACUCACGUGGGUCGCAAUCCCAUCUCCCUUGAUGCAGAUUCUAUCACAUUUCUUGAUAGACCCUUUGUAAAGGGAUCUGCCAGAUUUUUAGCCGUUGGGAUAUAUCCCAAUGCUAUUAUUCCGGAGUUUCUCAUUGCUCUGACAGAUUUCAGACGUCUCCUGACGUGUCUUGAUGACUUCAUAUUAUCUUUAGAACUGUUCACUUUGACUAUCACAGUUUGAUUGUCACAGUUCAUAAGAAUCGCCGGUAUUGGUUUUUCAACAAUCGGCAAGUCCAUCAAGAGCUCACGAAGCCAGUCGGCUUCAACUGUGGAUGUAUCUAAUGCUGAAAGUUCUGCUUCCAUUGUUGAUCUGGUUAAGAUCGUUUGCUUGCAAGACUUCCAUGAAACAGCGCCCCCUCCGAGUGUGAACACAUAUCCACUCGUGGCCUUUAGCUCGUCAACAUCAGAUAUCCAGUUUGAAUCACUAUAACCCUCAAGUACCUUGGGGUACCCAGUAUAGUAUAUACCAUAGCCCAUUGUGCCCUUUACAUAGCGCAUGACCCUCUCGAGUGUUGGGUUCGUUGCAUAGGAAACAAAAAAUUUCCUACGAGAAGUGCGGAAGAAAACCCAAGAAUAUAUAUACUAGAUGUAUGCAACGAGAGGGAUCAUGAACACCAUACCCUCGUAGACCGCUAAGCGUUACGAUCACGAGAUCGUUGUUGGUGUAGUGGAACUUUCAAUGAGAUUAAUCUCAGUGCCGAACGGACAGCACCUCCUUGGUAUCCACACGUUCAGCUUCACGUCGUCUCUUCCUUUCCUUGAUCGAGCAAGCGAGAGGGAGAGGUAGAUGAGAUCCCGGCAGCACGACGGCGUGGUGACUAUGGUGAAUAUCCCCACGGGCCGUGCACGUGAGAAGAGGAGGAGAGGAGGGCUCAGGGGAGAGAGAUCCAACUGAACGCUUGGUGUAUGCUCCCCCUUGCCACCCCCCCUCUAUUUAUAUAGGGGUAGGGGAGGGGGUGGCCGGCCAGAUCUGCCCCCCUUUCCAAAAGGGGGCUGGCGGCUAGGGGAGGGAAACCCUAAUAGGGUUUCCUCCCCCCCCAAGUUACCCUUUAGCCCUAGGGUGGGCUGGCCGCAUGGGCCUUGUGGGGGGCAGCCCCCUGGCCCAUUAAGGCCAGGGUACUCCCUCACAAGCCCAUGUAGCCCAGGGAUAGGUGGGCCUCAAGGUGGAAACCCCCGGAUCCCUCCGGAACCUUCUAGAAGCUUCCCGGUCAAAAACCGGAAAAUAUUCCGAACUUUCCGGAACCUGAAAACAACUUUCCAUAUAUAAAUCUUUAUCUCCGGAACAUUCUGGAGCUCCUCGUUACGUCUUGGAUCCCAUCCAAGACUCCGAAUCAUAAUUCGAUAUCAUCAUCAUUUAUCUCAUCUAACCCAAGCAACAUGAAACGUUAAGUGUGUGACCCUACGGGUUCGAGAACAUGUGGACAUGAUCAAAUAUCAAUAACCAAUAGUGGGACCUGGAUGUCCAUAAUGGUUCCCACAUAUUCCACGAAGAUCUCAUCGGUUGAACCACUAUGUCGAGGAUUCAAUUAAUCCAGUAUCCAAUUCUCUUUGUCUCGCGAUAUAUUACUUGCCCGAGAUUUGAUCGUCGGUAUCGCCAUACCUAGUUUAAUCUCGUUACCGGCAAGUUCUCUUUACUCAUUCCGUAAUAUAAUACCCCCGCGACUAAACAUAUUAGUCGCAUGCUUGCAAGCUCAUUAGGAUGUUAUAUUACCGAGAGGGCCCAAAGAUAUCUCUCCGUCACAAGGAGUGACAAAUCCCAGUCUUGAUCCAUACAACCCAACAAGCACCUUCUGAGAUAUCUGAAAAACACCUUUAUGAUCACCCAGUUACGAGAUGACAGUUGAUGCCCACAAAGUAUUCUUCCGGUACUAGGGAGUGGCAUGAUCUCAUGGUCUAAGGAAAUGAUACUUGACAUAAUAAAACAUAAGCAAUUUAAACUUAAGUGACACGAUCAAAAGCUAUGUUUAGCUUUGGGUCUGUCCAUCACAUCAUUCUCCUAAUGAUAUGACCUCGUUAUUAAAUGACAACACAUGUCUAUGGUUAGGAAACCUUAACCAUCUUUAAUCAACGAGCUAAUCUAGUAGAGGCGUAUUAGGGACACGGUAUUUGUUUAUUUAUCCACACACAUGUAUUUGAGUUUCCAAUCAAUACAAUUAUAGCAUGGACAAUAAACAUUUAUCAAGAACAAUGAAAUAUGAUAAUAACAAAUUUAUUAUUGCCUCUAGGGCAUAUUUCCAACAUCGAGUGCAUUCCCAUGAUCAUCUUCCGGAUUCUUAUUGAACCGACUCAGUUUGCUCACAGCAAAAGAGAUGUCAGGUCUAGUUGCGGUAGCCAAAUACAUGAGUGAACCAAUAACCUGAGAAUAUCUCAGUUGGUCUCUUCCAAUUCUGUGAUUUUUUCGAAGCAGAACGCUUGGAUCAUAAGGAGUUGGAGAAGGUUUACAAUCAGCAUAUCCGAAACGACUCAAGAUCUUCUCUACAUAGUGAGAUUGCACCAAAGUGAUCUCACCAUUGUCGCCUCUCACGAGCUUGAUGUUCAGAAUAACAUCAGAUACACCAAGGUCUUUCAUGUCAAAGCACUUCGACAAGAAAGUCUUAACCUCUUCAAUCACUUUGAGGUUAGUCUCAAAUAUUAGUACGUCAUCGACAUACAAGCAAAGUAAAACUCCCCCACCCCCACCAUGGCGGUAGUAUACACAUUUGUCAGCUUCGUUUACAACAAAGCCGUCAGAUGUUAAAGUUUUGUCAAACUUCUCAUGCCAUUGCUUAGGAGCUUGUUUCAGGCCAUAUAGAGACUUUAAUAACUUACACAAUUUGCCUUCAUGACCCUUUAUUACAAAUCCAUCUGGCUGGUUCAUGUAAAUUUCCUCGUCCAACUCUCCGUUAAGGAAAGCUGUCUUAACGUCCAUUUGAUGGACGAUCAGACCAUAUGAGGCAGCCAGUGAUAGUAAUACUCUGAUUGUGGUCAAUCGAGCUACAGGUGAGUAAGUAUCAAAGAAAUCUUCACCUUCUUUCUGGGUAAAACCCUUGGCCACAAGUCGCGCCUUGUACUUCUCAAUAGUACCAUCAGGCCUAAGCUUUUUCUUGAAUAUCCACUUGCAUCCUACAGGUUUGCACCCGUACGGACGGUCAACGACCUCCCACGUACCAUUAGCCAUGAUAGAAUCCAUUUCACUACGAAUGGCUUCCUUCCAAUAGUCUGCAUCCGGAGAUGCAAAGGCCUCAUCAAUGGUUUUAGGGGUGUCAUCUACAAGGUACACAAUGAAAUCAUCACCAAAGGAUUUAAUAAUCCUUUGUCGCUUACCCCUAAGAGGGGCUUCAUUGUCAUACUCCUCAGGAAUCUCAUCGCGUGUUUGUUCAAGAUUUUCCACUGGGAUGGCGGGUUCAGGAGCUACACCAUGAUCCUGAUGUUCCUCUGAACUGACGGGUUCAGCAGGUACAUCAUGAUCCUCUCUAGAUGUGCUAUGCAUAUCUCUCAUGGGAAAUAUGUCCUCAAAAAAUGUAGCAUCCCUGGACUCCAUAAUUGUACAGACGCUCAUGUCAGGUACUCCAGAAUUUACAACCAAGAAUCUAUAGCCGACACUUCGAAAUGCGUAGCCAAGAAAGACACAAUCAACCGUUUUUGGUCCAAGCUUACGUUUCUUGGUGAUUAGCACAUUGACUUUCGCCAAACAGCCCCAAGUCCGUAAGUAAGAAAGUGUGAGUCUCUUCUUUUUCCAUAGCUCGUAUGGGGUGACUUCUUUAUCUUUUGUAGGAACACGAUUUAGGACAUGACACGAAGUCAAUAGCGCCUCCCCCCACCAUGCCUUGGAUAAACCAGCAGUGUCUAACAUGGCGUUGACCAAGUCAGUCAGCGUGCGGUUUUUCCUCUCAGCAACCCCGUUUGACUGGGGCGAAUAGGGAGGCGUCCUCUCAUGGACUAUGCCAUGUUCCUCACAAAAUGAAUUAAACUCACUGGAGAAGUAUUCUCCACCGCGGUCAGACCGCAAACGUUUAAUUUUUUUCUCAACUUGAUUCUCUACUUCAGCUUUAUAGAUCUUAAAAUAAUGCAAUGCUUCAUCGUUUGAUUUUAAUAAAUACACAUAACAGAAUCUAGUCGCAUCAUCAAUGAAAGACAUAAAGUAACGCUUUCCACCUUUGGUUAAUAUACCGUUCAUCUCACAAAGAUCAGAAUGUAUAAGCUCUAACGGUGCUAGGUUCCUUUCCUCAGCAGCCUUGUGAGGCUUGCGAGGCUGCUUCGCUUGCACACAAUCUUGGCACUUCGAACUUUUAGCCACAGUGAUUUUAGGAAUUAAACUCAGAUUUGCUAAUCGCGUCAUGCAACCAAAAUUAAUGUGACAAAGUCGUGAAUGCCAAACAUUAGACUCAUUAUUAAUAGAAUUGACGCUGUUCACGACCUUAUUACAAAAAUCCGAAAGGGAUAAACGGAACAAACCUCCGCACUCAUAACCUUUACCAAUAAAUUGUCCAUACUUAGACACGAUAACUUUAUUGGACUCAAACACUAACUUAAAUCCGUCCUUGCAAAGGAGGGAUCCACUAACAAGAUUCUUCUGAAUGGAGGGCAUAUGCUGCACGUUCCUCAGCUGCACGAUCUUUCCCGAAGUAAACUUCAGAUCCACCGUGCCAACACCAUGAACAGAAGCAUGGGCGCCGUUCCCCAUCAUCACUGAGGAGCUGAUGGCCUGAUAUGAAGAAAACAAGGAAAUAUCAGCACAAACAUGAAUAGUUGCGCCUGUAUCGACCCACCAAUCGAUGGACUGACAUACAGAAAAUAUAGUAAAUAAAUUACCAUACCUGCCUGCAUCUUCAUUGUUGCCAAUGGUCAAAUUAGCAAACUUUUGCCGAAUCUGUCCUCUUUUGCGCUCCUUGCAGUUACUCGCCCAAUGGCCAAGUCCUCCACACACAAAGCAAGGAUCCUUGUCCUUGUUGCCUCCUUUCUUCUUCUUCUUGAAAGUGGUAGUGUUCUUUGGACCAGCAUUAUUGAAUGCCUUUCCCUUUCCCUUGUUGUUACUGUUGUUGUGGUUGUUCCUCUGAACCAUGUUGGCAGUGGACGUACCCUCUUGUGUGUUGCCUUUGGGGCCAGCAUCUUUUGCUCUCGCCUUCUCCUCAACAUCAAGAGUCCCAAUCAGGUUCUCCACAGAGAUUUCUUGUCUCUUGUGUUUUAGUGAAGUAGCAAAGUUCCUCCACGAGGGAGGAAGCUUGGCGAUGAUGCCCCCGGCGACAAACUUGUCGGGUAGUGGACACUUGAAUUGCUCAAGUUCCUUAGCCAUAGUCAAUAACUCAUGAGCUUGUUCCACUACAGAUCGGUUUGCAACCAUCUUAUAGUCAAAGAACUGCUCCAUGACGUACAGCUCACUGCCAGCGUCAGAUGCGCCAAACUUGGCAUCGAGCGCAUCCCACAACUCUUUGGCAUCCUGAUAGUGCAGAUAAGCAUCAACGAGCUUAUCUCCCAGCACACUACAGAUCGCACCGACGACUACAACACAAGCCUCAACAUACAACUGCUGAGAAGCAAUUGUUUGAGUCUUCCUGUGUUGUACCGCCCACCAUGCGCCCAUAGCCACGAGCCACAUAUGACAUUUAUACUGCCACCUCUUAAAGUGCAGUCCAGUAAACACAGGUGGUUUCAAUGCGACAGCAAAUUGAGACAUCGAAAAUUGCCUACACGCAUAAGGUUUUUGGAUUGUUGACAAAUUAGGUAAUUUCGAUGAAUAUUUAAUCCAGAAGGACAGUGUGUAAAACAUGUAGCACAUUAUAUCAUGCAAACUAGACAAAUUAAAUAGCAACACACAGCAAUAAAACUCAUCUAAUUUCACGGCAUGAAUAAUAGAACUACUAAUCAAAAUCAACAAGAAAGAGCAGAUUACGUACGGUGCUGUGCUCUUUUCUUGUGUUUGUUUGUUGAGGUCGGUGACGAGUCCGGUGGCGUCGAUGUUCACGCCGGCAGCAGCAGCAGCCUUGACUACCUCCUGAGCAGCGGGCAGUGUAUUUAGGAAACCAACAAUUAUCGGGAUUUGAGAUAAGCACGACCCAGCUCGGGCUCGGGCUCGAUCCACGAAACGCGCGCGUCGUGACGAGGCGAGCGGAGGAGGAGGAGGAGCGCGCGUAGGGAUUUUCCUUGCUCACUUGCUCAAGAGGUGAGAACCAACAUACCUUAUAUAUUGGUCCAACUCCCCCUAAACUAGCAAUGUGGGAUUAUUCCUACUUCCUCAUCCCACUACAUGAAUGGGCUUUUGAGAUUUUUCAGGAAUUAAUUUCAGAUUGCGCCUUGGGCCUAACCCAAAAUUCCAACAGUUUAUACGUAGCUUGUGUGCUCUGGACUUGGAAACCUUUAUCUCACGGACCAAUGUUUGGGAUUCAAGCUUUCAUAGAAAGACUUGCUUUUAAAUUUUCUUUAGCUAUGAAGCAUUGCCUUCUGUAUCCAGGUCAAUGAGAAGAUUUAUUUUACGGCAUUCGCCUUGUUUAAUUGUGAUGAUGACGACAAGAGGAAUUUAGCAAUCUUACGCGAUGCUGGUCUCUACAUUAGAGAUAUUUCUGGCAUUGCUUGUGAGGAUUGGGAGAUACUGAAGCUUGCAAUAGCUGUCAAGGUGAUAUAUGUCGCCCUACAGAAGAACUCACAGAUUUUCAUGUGGUAAAUAAUACUUGCUAUUUUUGUAUGCGGUCUCUGCUGCUCGGUGUGCAUUUCAUGGAAGCUUGUAUAUAUAUCAUAUAAUGUGUUAAAUCAUGCUCCUUUCAGGUUCUUGCAGAAGAUGUGGUAUCAAAGUUGAAAGGUGAUGCAUGGAAAUAUGAAGGUGUCGCAGUUAAGGUCCAUUGGCUGACUGCCUACAGAUCAGUUGCGUCUAACCAUGGUCUCAGGAUUGAGAAGAAGAGAAUGUUGGGGUCCUUGGUUAGGGAAGCUAAGAAAGCAUAUGAAGCAGAAGAAGCGGAAGUAUGUCAGAAGGUUAAUAAGUUGCAUGAAGAGUCGCAGCAAAAUUUUGAAACGAAAGCUGUGUGACAACAGUGGUGAGGGUACUCCCCAUAAGCGACAUAAAUACUGAUUAAAAUGCUGGGCAGCCUACCAUCUAUAGGUCAAGCAUUCUGAUUCAAGGGUCUCAUGCUCUCUUGUCUAUGUCCGAGGGUGCUCUUUAAUAAGAUGGGAGUCGGGGACAUGAGCUUGAGGUUGUCGUCGAGAUUGGAAUUCAUGGACAACUUAUUACUUGUUCGAGUUCAUGAUUAAUUUUAUGCAUUGUGGUAAGAUAUAGACCUGCAUGGUGUUUGACAAAACAAAACGACCCUCGAUCUCGAUGUAGGGCUGUAUAAUCGUGCUGUAAAACUAGAGAUUCCGAGUAGCAUCGCCUCGCCAAUGAGGAAGAACAGUCACACAAGAUAAAGUAAAAAAAGAAACAUAAAUGAAUGUGGAGCACUUCUCUUUAUUCAAUACUAUAAUCAACUUGUGUUUACAACACGGGGCACUCCAUUUAUAUAGGGGUGCCUAUUCAUGGUAAGAUUCGUAUAUUACUAGUCAAGUAGCCCACACGUAGGACUAGGACUAGACCUUCCAGAGUCUUCCUAAUUCAUCUCCUAUUUGGUUUCAUGACAUAUACUCAACCUUGUGCUAUUUGAAGUUGCAAGCUAAGUUUGCCUUAUUCCAGGUCACUUUUUGGCCUCAACAGGAAAAAGUGACUAAAACCUACUUAUUUCAUACACUGCUUCCUAGCUAGCUACUCCCUUGGUUCUUUAAACUACUCCACUGUUCCCAUGAAUUAGCCUUUAUAGUGUCAUUUUCCCUCACGGUAGGUCACUAUAAGGGGUUGAUUCAUGGGAUUGAGGGAGUAAUUAAUUCUUACACUAUUAUUAUUUAUCCCCUCCUUUUGACUUUUAAGCCUUCCUUUCAGGGAUAUAUAAACCUAAAAUACCCUGGAGAAAAACUGUCCAGCAUCAUGCCACGCAUGCUCAGCGGUGUGUCCAACAUCAUACCACACAUGCUCAGCAGUGUUUCCAACAUCCUGCCACGCAUGCUCAACAGUGUUUCCAACAUCAUGCCACGCAUGCUCAACAGUGUUUGCAAAGUUUUGAAGUUCAUUAUAAGCUUCUUGAGCUAAGCUCAUUGCGCUGUGAUAACCUUGUUCUACCAUGUUUGGAAGAUUGUCGAAGAAUUCCUUCAAGGGAUGCUCUAAAUAAUCAGUGUAAACAUUCACAAGAACAUGUUCAACAUGCUCAGCUGCAAUAGUUAUAACACCUGCUUUUACAGCUUCCUUGAACAUGCCUCCUAGUCGGUAUGGAACUUUUCCGACCCAUACCUGCCUCAUCCCUGGCAUUUCGCACCUCUUGUGUUGCUAGAUAUGUACGGCUGCAAAAAACAUUGUGUCACCGUUAAAUUAAAUGUUGACCUUGCUUUUAAGUAAGCUUCCUGGUGACAGACUAACUAAGUUUCAAAAUGGUAAAAUAUAUGUGGUCAAACUUGUUGCGAGAAUCAAAUAAGAUUACGAUAUGAUGAAGAGGAAGAAAAGUCAAAUCUGCGAGGAAGAAAGUCAAACCAAGAAAUGUGGACUUAAGGAACCAAACUCUUAACUGAGCAACAAGUUAACCUUGAGUGGUUCGUAGACAGAGAAAAUAGAGGAACUCGCAGAUCAAAGAGAAAAGGGAGAGAACCCAUGAUAUGCUUGUUAACACUGCAAAUCAGAAUCAGACCAUCGCUUGCUUCAAAGAAGCUCUUAUCCUGGGAUGCUGGAAUAUUUGGAAUCAUCGAAACCAUAUUAUUUUCCAGAAUGAGAAUAGGAGAUUAGAUUCAGCUUUCCAACUUUUUUUAAAUUAUUUUACUCAUGUCAGACACCGUGCCAAACCAAGUCUGAAAGAAGGAAUGCCGGCAUGGCUAGACACUUUAUGAUUUUCCUCGAUCAAUUUUGUAAAUAUCCAUUGUACAUACCCAUCUUCUAUAAAUGAAAAUGACACGGUAGGAACCUUCCCUACUGUUUUGUGUCUAAAAAAAAGGGAGAGAGCCAGGUGUAUGCACCUCAAUUUGCACAGGGGUUGUUCUUCGGUCUUCAGCUCUUUGCUCUAGGGUGGAGGACGAGAGGAACGGAGGGGCUCUAUUUAUAGCCGCAAAGCUGGGUUUACGUCAUUCGCUUUGUACUAGUAAGAACCCGGGGCCUGGUUGUAGCCUAUUUGUCUUGCAUCACAGCCAGGUUAUUCGACAUGGUUCUGGAGCAAGCAUAAAUUGAAUGGUUGGCACCUCCAUUCCACUCCUGGGUUCGGCCAUAUCCAUAUGGCAUAUUCCAUUUUCUAUAUGUGGCCUUCAUCAUAUAUGCUAGGUUAAAGCUUCAGAUUCGCGGGCCGGUCGUUCCGUUGCCACACCUGUGUUCAUAACGAUCGGCUUAGCCACGGCUCCAUACCUUCGCAGCUCGCGUUGCGUCUGCUCGGCUCCAAAGUGUCGUGGAAUGUCCGAACGUCGUGCUCUCGGCGCACUGGCAAAACGACCAGUCGAUGGACGCGCCGGAGCCCUACAUCCGCAUGCGCACCGGCGACGAGAUUAAUCACUCAGAGAUCCACUACCAGGAACUCCAUUCAAUAGUGAUGUAAUAGGUAUAAAAGACCCUGAGAUACCAUCAGAUUCUGCUUGAACAGUAUUCAGCCACUCGAUAUGAGACAUAAUACCGUUAUCCCUUCCAACUCUUCGUUUAGGCAUCAUCACCAAAUCCUGAGACCACAAUCAGUAAAUAUAAAUAAGACAUGAACAGUGAAAAUGGUAUCAACACAAAGACCUAUACCUCUGUUGUAGUGUAAGAUUUCAGUGGACUGGACUCCACAAAUCUCAGUCGGUGUUCUCUUCUGUCACUCUGCAGGCAUGGAAAACAUAAAUUUCUGAGCUAAGAAAACGCACAAGCAACCUUUUGUAGUCUGUACCAACAUAUAUGACGGACAUAAACGUUAAGAGAUGUUAGAAUUCAAGUGAACAACCUACACACAAACAACAUAUCAAGAGCAAGCCUAUUGGCACAUACAUCAUCCUUUUCCAUAUGUGUCUACUGUGUAUGGCUAUUGGCAGAUUCACAGACAACAUGUGUGGAUGUCAAUUCAACAAAUUCCAAUUAAAGAAGUUAGAGCUGGUAUGCAAUCUAUUUGCACUGAUCAAAAGCUGCAGUCCUGUGAGUACUGAGUACUGCCAAACUACAGAUGUGAACUGCACAUAGUUUAUUGCACAAGUAGCAGGCUAUGGUAAUACUAGAUACCAGUUAAGAUAUUUAGUGUGGAAUAGAAAUAUGCAAGGGCAAGUGAAAGUCAGAAAAAUUUAGAGGCUAGUGAAACAUCUUAUCCUUAUCUUUAAGCAUCCCUGAAACUAAUGUCAGAUUGCCCAUUUGCAUCAAGAAAUCUCCUAUAAGACAUCUCCUUCAAUCGUUUUUGAACAUCAACAUUCAACAGCUUGCAAUUAGAAAAAAAAAACAGCAAAUUUUUAUUAGAUGUAUAUAUAUUAUCCCGCCGCCGGGCAUACCUCCCACCCCCACCCCGCCCCUGGCUAUCCCGACGGGCAUACCUCCCCCCUCUCUCCUGCGCGUCCUAACCCUAGACCCCCAACCCUAAUCCUAAGACCCUAACUCUACUCCUAAUCCUACCUGUUCUACUCGACUUGCAAGUGAUCCAAGGCUCGCCUCUAUAUGCCGGUGCUCUUCCAUCUCCGCGAGCCGUGUGAGACUAAAGGAAAUACAGUAGCACGUACCGGAAUAGCCUGGCCGCCUUCCCCGGCGCGAAUCCACGAGGACGCCGACAGCACGGGAGAACUCCGCCGCCUAUCCUGGGCCUCUGGUCGCCGGCCGGCCGGCCGGCCGGCGAGCUCCUCGAAGCAGUCCGCCUGAGAGCGAGAAGACGAUCCAGGGCACAGAGAGAAAGAGUCGGUCCGUUCAGUAAUAUAUCGGCCCAAAAACGCUUCGGCCUAAAAAGAAUCGAGCCAGUAAGCCCAACGGCCCGGCCCAGUAAAACAGGAUAGGUCAGCCCACCUAUGUCUUCUCGUCUUCUUCCCCUUGCCCUCGCCGCAACCGCAAGCGCAACCAACCCUCUUCUCCUUCUCCACCCGCAGCGCAGCCAGCCACGAGCUCAAAUCUCAAUCGAUCGGAGGAGGCGGAGAACCGGAGAUCGGAUCGGCGAUGGCGACGUUCGACCCGUGGCCGGUCUUCUUCCGUAGGGAGUGGAAGCGCAACUGGCCCUUCCUCGCGGGCUUCGCCGUCACCGGCUUCCUCAUCACCAAGAUGACCGCCGGCUUCACCGAGGAGGACCUCAAGAACUCCAAGUUCGUCCAGGAGCACAAGCGCCGAGCCUGACGCUCUCAGGUCACCCUUCCCCCUGCUUUCUUCUCCCUGCUUCCCGUCGUAUCCUGCCGAUCCGCCGUGCAAUUAGGUCUUGGUGACCCAUCCAGCGCUGUUCGUUCGCUCGUUCGUUGUCUUCCUGCCGUAUCCGGGCGCCAACGUUGCGUCGAUGCGUUGAAACGAGGCAAGACCAACUGAGACCGAGAAUUGCAUUGAUCGUUUGAUCCUGUGGAUGGAUGUUUGUUUUCUGCAUAGACAGUAGGUCGUAGGAAUUGCAUCCCCUGACGCAGUCAUUUUGUGUUAUCCUUCUACAUGUAUUCUUAGGUUACUGUGGUUCUUAGGUUACUGUGGUUUGUUGUUUGGAUACGUAGCAGCAAGCUUCAAGAUGUUGAUGCCAUUGCAAAAUGACUUGUCUUUUUUUGUCUGGACCAUGAAAAUGAUUUUCAGAUGAUUCAAUAUGGUGUUCCUGUUUUCUUUCCUGGGAUAAGCUGUUUCAGAAAAACACUAGUAAACCAUUUUGGAACUACAAACAGCUGCCGUUUAUUUACGCUUUACUCCCAACAAUAACAUGGUCAAAGUGCUUGAAGGAUCUAGUUUGUGUUCAUUGUCAGUCUUUUGUCAUAUUGCCAUGAAUACAGUAUCUGCUUUGGUUGGUUGCUGAGCUAACCGUGAGUUUAUGCCCUCACAUUGUUCAAUGUUCAUAUGUUGACAUGCUGCAAUUGAACCAUGUAUGCUGCAUAGUUGCCUACCACAAGGAUCAGGUUACUGACAGGUUGAUGAUUUUGUUUCCUCCAGGUGAAGGAAUGGCUGCUGCAGUUCCCAGUCAUUAUAAGCGUGGUCGGCAAUUUUCUUACGUUAUUUGAAUGAAUUCACCAAAGGAAUGACUUAGUCUACCCAAGUUUCUACUGUAAUGUUGUAAUAAGAGGCUUUUGAAUACCUAAACCAACAAAUGUCAGCUCCAAUCUAUAUUUCAAGUCAGAUUAUUGCAUAUCUUGUUUUCUUUUCACAUGGUUAUGCUUGGGGCAACAUUUGCGAUGUGGUGACUGGUGAAAAACCAGAUCCUUUGUUAUCAUAUCACCAUUGUGCGUUGCUGUGUGAUUGAUGUGUCCUGUUCUUUUGGGGGGUGGGAGGUAACCUGUUUGGUUUGUUGUGCGCCUGAUAAAUCACAAUAGAUGCUUAUAGCUGAUGUUCAUGUUCUUUCCAUCUGUAACUUUGGCUAUGGCGACACGGAGCAUUGUUGGAAAGGGUAACUGCAUCAGGUAUAUGCAUGAUUGUCCGGGAUGUGCAUAACUGGAGCAGAGGCUGCCCAUGUUGCUUGUUUUUGCAAUGUGAAAGACUGGAAUUGUUCAUGCCGCAAUUCACUAGGCAAUUGGUGGGAGUGCAGCUUGUCUGGAUUGCUUGAUUGCAUUUGCAGCUGUUGAACAAUUUAGUUUUCCAGUGGAAAGGAAACUCGAUCGUGCCCCUCAAGGUGCAGCCAGGUUUAUUGCUGGAACCUGGCUCCCAAUUCUUCACAGAUUCAUGGGCAUGCACAAUACUUUUGUCAGUUUCACAUUCGUGGGCUGUCUCUGUGUGAAAAGUUCCCCGACAUCUAGUAGGUGAUUCAACAAAGCAUGCAUUGAACAAGGUCUUUUACAAGUUGGACAAAUGCAAAUUCAGCGACAAUCACGCCCAUGGGAUGGGUUAGAUGAUCCUCUACUGCAGCUAGUGCCCACCAAGAACGUCUGAUUUGCUGAUGCAGCGGCGAGCACCCGAAUCUUGGAAGAGAUGUCAAUGAUAUUUACAUGGUCUUCAACUUUGAAAGUGCUUUCUUCCGCUGCCCAAGCAUGUAAGUAUACAUAUGCGGGCUCCCUGCGGUGAAAAAUUAAUUUAAAUUGUCAAUAUUAAGACGAGCACACAGUGAAGUUGAAUGAACGGAAAUUGAUGCCGGGGACAAGGGAGGUACCUGGAACAUAAAUUACAAGUGCAAGGAUUGAUGCAUAGAGGUAAUCAAAUGAAAAGUUCCAUUUAUUGGGCAUUCUAAGACAGUACUUCUCUGAUGCCUGCAAUUAUCAAUUUGAGUGCAAAAAGCAUAUUAGCAACAUAAAUUAUGUUGAUGUACUGAUCAGUUACCUUGAUAGAUCUCCUCAGAAAUUAAGAGAAUACCUUAAUGAACUGCAAUGCAAUGUAUAUCAGGCCAACCUCGCUGCUGAUACCAGUUGGGUACAUGACUAGGAAGGAACUAUACCUGUAUAAAUUCAGGUUUGAUCUUUUGAGAUAAUGAUUCAGGUCUAAUGGUUGCAAUGUAAAGAUCUUCUCUUUUAUGAUUGAUGCUGCUUUAAAUUAAAUAAAUACGUGAUCUUAAGCAAAGUUAAUAUUGGUAGCAGUGUAGCUUAGUCUCACCUAAGCCAUAGAAGCCAUGACGGAGCGGAUCCAAAAAGCUCUUUUGUGCCGAAGAAGGAAUACCUGAUAAUCUGCAAUGCGACACCCGACACUCGAGUAGUUAGGUGUCUGGAUGCUGCAGAAUUUGUUUCUAUCCAUGGAGUGUGAAGUGGUAAAAUCAUCUAUAUCAGCGGGCUCUAAGAAAGCAUGGGCCGUAUGAAUAUGACAUGGCUUGACAACCUAUGUAUACAAUACGCAACACACUUUAUUUGUAAUCCGCCGCUUUAAAGCAAUUAUUCCCUAGUGGUUGCUAAUGUUGUGUUUCUACAAGAGCAUCAUUGCACUGAAGCCUGAUCCACCUCAUUUGCAACUAAUUGUACUGAAAAUAGAAGGCAUGAUUGAAUCUAUAAACUGCAGUUACGCACACAUUUUAGUGCCUUUGACUUAAAGCUGAUUUCACUCAUGUAACAGUAUAGUCAAUUAAGCUAGGACAAUCAUGUGUUAAUUUUCUGUCAUUAGUAUCUUAAAGUUCAACUUGGAACAGCAAUAUCUUCAUGCCAAAAGCAUCCUUGCAUCACUUUAGGAAGAGAUUUUCAGUUAGUCUGACAACAACAGGUCCUGCCUCUGACAUAGAGUCUAACAUGUAUUUCUAGUGCUUAUUUCUGCAGUACAUACAUAUAUGCCAGUCAGUCAAUGAUGUAUAC